GAUGAACGCUAGCUACAGGCUUAACACAUGCAAGUCGAGGGGAAACGGCAUUAAGUGCUUGCACUUUUUGGACGUCGACCGGCGCACGGGUGAGUAACGCGUAUCCAACCUGCCCCUUACCAGGGAAUAACCCGUUGAAAGACGGACUAAUGCCCUAUGCAGUCCUUUGACGGCAUCAGAUUAGGACUAAAGAUUCAUCGGUAUGGGAUGGGGAUGCGUCUGAUUAGCUUGUUGGCGGGGUAACGGCCCACCAAGGCAUCGAUCAGUAGGGGUUCUGAGAGGAAGGUCCCCCACAUAGGAACUGAGACACGGUCCUAACUCCUACGGGAGGCAGCAGUGAGGAAUAUUGGUCAAUGGGCGGUAGCCUGAACCAGCCAAGUAGCGUGCAGGAGGACGGCCCUAUGGGUUGUAAACUGCUUUUAUGCGGGGAUAAAGUCACCCACGUGUGGGUGUUUGCAGGUACCGCAUGAAUAAGGACCGGCUAAUUCCGUG
rnacentral:rRNA from 1 species